rnacentral:rRNA from 1 species
AGUGAACGCUGGCGGUAGACCUAACACAUGCAAGUCGAACGGCAGCACAGUAAGAGCUUGCUCUUACGGGUGGCGAGUGGCUGACGGGUGAGGAAUACAUCGGAAUCUACUUUUUCGUGGGGGAUAACGUAGGGAAACUUACGCUAAUACCGCAUACGACCUACGGGUGAAAGCAGGGGAUCUUCGGAUCUUGCGCGAUUGAAUGAGCCUAUGUCGGAUUAGCUAGUUGGCGGGGUAAAGGCCCACCAAGGCGACGAUCCGUAGCUGGUCUGAGAGGAUGAUCAGCUACAUUGGAACUGAGACACGGUCCAGACUCCUACGGGAGGCAGCAGUGGGGAAUAUUGGACAAUGGGCGCAAGCCUUAUCCAGCCAUACCGCGUGGGUGAAGAAGGCCUUCGGUUUGUAAAGCCAUUUUGUUGGGAAAGAAAAGCAGCAGGUUAAUACCCCGCUGUUCUGACGGUACCCAAAGAAUAAGCACCGGCUAACUUCGUG